GGGAAUCUUCCACAAUGGACGAAAGUCUGAUGGAGCAACGCCGCGUGAGUGAUGAAGGGUUUCGGCUCGUAAAACUCUGUUGUUGGAGAAGAACAGGUGAUAGAGUAACUGUUAUCAUCUUGACGGUAUCCAACCAGAAAGCCACGGCUAACUACGUGCCAGCAGCCGCGGUAAUACGUAGGUGGCAAGCGUUGUCCGGAUUUAUUGGGCGUAAAGCGAGCGCAGGCGGUUUUUUAGGUCUGAUGUGAAAGCCUUCGGCUUAACCGGAGAAGGGCAUCGGAAA
rnacentral:rRNA from 1 species